rnacentral:misc_RNA from 1 species
AAUUUCUCAAGCUUGGAUGGCUUUUUUGUCUGUCUUAGCCUUGGUUGUUGGGCUUUGCCGUGCCCUUCAUUGGGACGGCUGGCCUUAAAGGUAUUAGCUGAUCCUCGUGUGGCACUGGUUCUACUCAGCGUGAUAACAGUCUGAUCGCUGAGGACAUCUUUUGGGAUGGCCAGUCCUCAUUUUGGGUUGCUUCUAAACUUGGUUUUGCAGAUUCUUCAAUCUGUGGUUCCACUUUUCAA